UGCCAGCCGCCGCGGUAAUACGGAGGGAGCUAGCGUUGUUCGGAAUUACUGGGCGUAAAGCGUGCGUAGGCGGAUCGACAAGUUGGGGGUGAAAUCCCGGGGCUUAACCCCGGAACUGCCCUCAAAACUGUCGAUCUAGAGUAUAUCAGAGGCAGGCAGAAUUCCAGGUGUAGAGGUGAAAUUCGUAGAUAUCUGGAGGAAUACCGGAGGCGAAGGCGGCCACCUGGCCAGAUACUGACGCUGAGGUGCGAAGGCGUGGGUAGCAAACAGGAUUAGAUA
rnacentral:rRNA from 1 species